ACAAGAAAAGCAUAGAAACAUGCUGAGAAUGAUAAAGGAAAUUCAAAAAUCACGUAACACAAAACCCAAGUUAAAGGGACAUAGAGUUUUGAAAACAAAAAAUUGGGGAAACUUCGAGACACAUGCUCAGAAAACUCGAACACACAUAGAUCUAGGGCAGAUCUAAAAUAAAACAAAAGAACCUCAAAGUUAGGCUUAGAACCCAGAGAAGGUGAGAAAAGCUUUGAAAACUCCCGAUCUAAGCAGGAUAGUCACAGAUCUGGCUCGAACGGCCAUGGCUGGCUAGAGAAAGGUCAAGGAUGACCGGAGAAGAACCAUCGAGCAAAAGCUUGGUAAAGAUCCCUCCAGAUUCAGAUCAUAGGACCAUAGAGGUGAGUACAUAGAGUUCAUAAGAGGCCGAUAUAGGGCUUAGAUGAGGAUGGGAAGCCAUAGAUUAGGAUUUCAGGUGAGGCGGCGGCUAGGGUUUGAGAGGUGAGUUGAGAGAGAACGAGAGAGACGAGGCAUUCAGGGGCGGCGUGUGGUGAGAAAUGAGAUAGGGUUUGGG
rnacentral:lncRNA from 1 species